GACCCAGUAGCUCAGCGGUAGAGCAUUUGCCUUUUAAGCAAGGGGUCCCGGGUUCAAAUCCCGGCUGGGUCA
rnacentral:tRNA from 1 species